AGUCAAUAGAUACCCGGGUAGUCCACGCCGUAAACGAUGUCGACUUGGAGGUUGUGCCCUUGAGGCGUGGCUUCCGGAGCUAAACGCGUUAAGUCGACCGCCUGGGGAGUACGGCCGCAAGGUUAAAACUCAAAUGAAUUGACGGGGGCCCGCACAAGCGGUGGAGCAUGUGGUUUAAUUCGAUGCAACGCGAAGAACCUUACCUACUCUUGACAUCCAGAGAACUUAGCAGAGAUGCUUUGGUGCCUUCGGGAACUCUGAGACAGGUGCUGCAUGGCUGUCGUCAGCUCGUGUUGUGAAAUGUUGGGUUAAGUCCCGCAACGAGCGCAACCCUUAUCCUUUGUUGCCAGCGGUUAGGCCGGGAACUCAAAGGAGACUGCCAGUGGUAAACUGGAGGAAGGUGGGGAUGACGUCAAGUCAUCAUGGCCCUUACGAGUAGGGCUACACACGUGCUACAAUGGCGCAUACAAAGAGAAGCGACCUCGCGAGAGCAAGCGGACCUCAUAAAGUGCGUCGUAGUCCGGAUUGGAGU
rnacentral:rRNA from 1 species